UGGAAGUGAUAUUAGAGCUCAGGCAACAAUUUGUGCUCGAUACAAAAUAGCAGUCACUCUUCUUCGGAGCUUGGGAGGAUCUUAUUCAUCACAUCGUACUCAACAUGCAACACGGCACGAUAUCCUUCUGCAAUAACAAUGCAACAACACAAACACCCAAAAUCAGUUAAUUCCAAAACAAAUUUUUCAAUUAAGUAAGUUAUACAAAUUUUUCAGUUACAGUGGUGAAGCUUUUCUUACCAACAGUGAAGUUUUGGGAAAUGAAGAGGAAUUGAGAGAGGGACCACAAGCUGGAAUAAGGACAAAAUUCAAAACCUCUCUCAGUACAGCAGACCUCCACUACUCUGAGGAAACAAAAACACAGCAGAGGAAAGAGAUGAAUGGCAUAUAAAAGGAGGAUCACUGUUCACAAAAAACCCUAGAGGAGGUGAGCGGCUACCAUUCAGAAAAGGAGAAGAGAGCUGAAAAACCCUAAGUUUUGGAUAGUCGCCGCUGUUCACCUAUAGGGAAGAGAGGAUUCUGAAAAAACACAAAAGCGCUGUUACUGUUCACUAAGAGAAAGAGGAGUCGACGACAAGAAGAAAAGAAAGCCAUAGUUUUUCUUGGUGGUGAAGAGCGGACGAGAAGAUCAAAACCGGUUCAGGUAAAACGCUUACUCACAUUCGUCAGUCGAGCUCGCCGCAACCGGUUAGCUUCCUUUCCGAGCUUUAUUUCCAUAUUUCGAUUAUGCUUUGAAUUCCAUGUUUGAUUUAGGAACACCGUUGCCUGUUUGUUUGUGAUGUUAACUUGCUGUUAAGAUUUUGAUUUUCAAAAAUGGAAAGAAAACUGAGCUUUGGAUCGUUACUGUUUUCAACAUGAGCUUUGUUAUUCGUAGUCACUGUUUCAACAUGAGCUUUGUUAUUCGUAGUUACUGUUUUCCAACUUUGUGUUUUAUUUAAAAGGUUUGGUACAUCUUUUGUUAUAUUAUGUAGUAGUGUUUGAAACUAUCUAAUAGGGAUGUCGAUUUGGUUGAGUUGGU
rnacentral:lncRNA from 1 species